GCAGAAGUAGUUCAGUGGUAGAAUACAACCUUGCCAAGGUUGGGGUCGCGGGUUCGAAUCCCGUCUUCUGCUCCA
rnacentral:tRNA from 2 species